UACAUGGUAUAGGGCGCUUGUUAGCUGG
rnacentral:sRNA from 1 species